ensembl:ncRNA
UAUUCGAGCCAAUAAGUUCGG